AGAGUUUCGAUCCUGGCGUACAGGACGAACGCUGGCGGCGUGCUUAACACAUGCAAGUCGAACGCUGAAGCUCAGCUUUUGUUGGUGGAUGAGUGGCGAACGGGUGAGUAACACGUGAGUAACCUGCCCUCUUCUUUGGGAUAACGCCCGGAAACGGGUGCUAAUACUGGAUAUUCACUGAUCUUCGCAUGGGGGUUGGUGGAAAGGUUUGUUCUGGUGGGGGAUGGGCUCGCGGCCUAUCAGCUUGUUGGUGGGGUGAUGGCCUACCAAGGCUUUGACGGGUAGCCGGCCUGAGAGGGUGACCGGUCACAUUGGGACUGAGAUACGGCCCAGACUCCUACGGGAGGCAGCAGUGGGGAAUAUUGCACAAUGGGCGAAAGCCUGAUGCAGCGACGCCGCGUGAGGGAUGGAGGCCUUCGGGUUGGAAACCUCUUUCGCUCAUGGUCAAGCCGCGACGUGGGUUGUGGUGAGGGUAGUGGGUAAAGAAGCGCCGGCUAACUACGUG
rnacentral:rRNA from 1 species